rnacentral:rRNA from 1 species
UACGUAGGUGGCAAGCGUUGUCCGGAAUUAUUGGGCGUAAAGCGCGCGCAGGCGGCUUCUUAAGUCUGAUGUGAAAUCUCGGGGCCCAACCCCGAGCGGCCAUUGGAAACUGGGAAGCUUGAGUACAGAAGAGGAGAGUGGAAUUCCACGUGUAGCGGUGAAAUGCGUAGAUAUGUGGAGGAACACCAGUGGCGAAGGCGACUCUCUGGUCUGUAACUGACGCUGAGGCGCGAAAGCGUGGGGAGCAAACAGG